CCCUGGUACAAAUGACCCCAAUGGCUUAUAAGAAAUUCUCUUAUCCUUCCACAUCAUCUGCUUUCUCAUGCUUUACUCCAAAUAUCCCCCAGAAUAACUUCUCCUGUUACUUACCACUCUUCUCACAAGGUGGCAGUGAAAAGUGAAGUAGAUUUACAAUUACUUUGUCUCAAAAGCACUGCCUUUAAUGCCAAUCCUAAUCUAAUGCUUGGUAGCAAGCCUCUGAAAACCUUAUUUUCUUCUCCUUUUUCCUUAGAGUCUUUAAAAACAACCUCAAAGACUUCAUAGAGAAAUUUUUCCCCAUGGCAUGCCCUGUGCAGAGACUCACAUUUAAUAUCCACGCUGACAGUACCUGCUACAGGCUUUUCAGAUCAUGGCCAAAGAUUACUGAAGUCACUGAAAAACAGUGGUGUAUGAAGAACACUGUUACUUUCAAGAAAGUGGAAGACACAUUUUGUGGAAGCACAGACCAGGAUAUAAUCUGAGGAUUAUCACUCUAACACACCGAAGGCAUUCUGACAAUACAGCAGUACCCAGCCAAUUUGCUUCUUUCUUCUGGAGUCUUUGCAAACUUGAAUGUUUGCUUCAUAUGUUAUUGUUGAAGGAUCAGUAAAUACAAAAAAGUUAAAUGCGUGUCCUCAAAACUACUGAGAAGGAAUUGAAGGCAGCCUAGAACAGGAUCUGCAGUUGAGAGCAGAGAUGUCUGACUGUAGAAACUUGAGGCUCACUGUAGUCCACUGAGUGCUCUCCACUUCCUCAUCCAGGGACCCCAACGAGAGGGAUGAAAUAUGCACAUCUAUAAAAAGCCUUUCCACUCAAGGAAAGCCAGGUAACAGGGCAGUGCAAAGUGUUGGUGCCUAAAUCCUUAGUUUAAUAGGGAGGGAAUAGUGCUGUCCCAGCACUGCAGGGAGCUGAAAAGCAUUGGUUUGUUACAAGCUCUAAAGGCAACAUCUCAAUUUUACAAGUAAUGUUAAUCAGGAAGCUGUUAGGGGAAAGGGCUAAAUUGUUAUUAAAAAUCACAGAAGGAUAUGUAAUUAAAUUUGAAUGAAAAGACUUCUAACUAACCACAGGGCUUUGAUCCAAGUCCUUACACUGGUUACAAGUUGUGGCAAUUACUUCGUAUCUUCCCAAAAUGUAAAGGCACAGUGAAGACUUUUCUCUGACAUCACAGAGAAGAAUAAAUUAAACAAGAGACCAAGAUCAGUACAGGAUUUCAGUUGAAUUUGCAUUUAGGCUCCAAAAUCAAUCCUGAAAAUGUCUUUUGCAGCUGCUGCUGGACACUGAAGUUACUUAGGUAAGACAAAGACUUUGACUUCUCUGGGCAAACCGAACUGCUGAACUCUUUAACUAACAACCACCAGAAGGUCUGUUUCUGGUUACUUGUGGUAUUGUCUUUGCUGACAGGAUUGAGGGGUUGGGUGCCUGGAUCCCAUGUCUCCUCCUGCUCUGCAGCUGUACAGAAAGGGCCCAACACCCUGGUCCAACAGGUCACCAGCCUCUGAGCUGCUGCCGGAGCACCACAUGUGUUGCACACAUGCAUAGGAUUGGCAUUCAGAUAUAAUCGAGUGAUAUCUCCACCUGGGGAGGGAAAGUUGACCUGACUGUAAGAGGAAGAUAUGACUUUCUGUCCUAAGAGUUUGAACAGUCAUUCCAGAACAAGCAGCCCCAAAACCAAGAUCCCAUCCUCACAAUUUUACAUCUCUCAUCUGGUGACUUUUUCAGUCACUGGCCAGUGGAAUAGUUUCAAUAGGAGCAGAGGAACAUAGCAUUCAUAUUUUGCUAAAGUCUGAUGACAAAAGAGAUGGAAAAUAGUGGCAAGUUUCCCUUUAGUAAGUAAUUUCUGAGUAUAUAUAAAGUGUUAGAGCAGAUAUCUCCUUUUUUUCUUUUUUUUCUCUUUUUUUUAGGCUUGGCAUUUAUGCCAGCAUGAGAAUUUUUCACUAAAGUACAGGAAAACAUCUUCUUUAUUGAACUUAAAUAAGUUUU